rnacentral:rRNA from 1 species
CUACGGGCUGCUCCAGUGAGGAAUAUUGGGCAAUGGAGGCAACUCUGACCCAGCCAUGCCGCGUGCAGGAAGACGGCCCUCUGGGUUGUAAACUGCUUUUGUUUGGGAAUAAACCCUUCUACGUGUAGAAGGCUGAAGGUACCUUACGAAUAAGGAUCGGCUAACUCCGUGCCAGCAGCCGCGGUAAUACGGAGGAUCCAAGCGUUAUCCGGAUUUAUUGGGUUUAAAGGGUCCGUAGGCGGAUCUCUAAGUCAGUGGUGAAAGCCCACAGCUCAACUGUGGAACGGCCAUUGAUACUGGAGAUCUUGAGUGUAGUAGAAGUAGGCGGAAUAGGGCAUGUAGCGGUGAAAUGCAUAGAUAUGCCCUAGAACACCGAUUGCGAAGGCAGCUUACUAUGUUACAACUGACGCUGAGGGACGAAAGCGUGGGGAGCAAACAGGAUUAGAUACCCGGGUAGUC